rnacentral:miRNA from 1 species
UAUUAUGUUGGUGCAAAAGCAAUUGUGGUUUUUGGCAUUUUUUUUUUAAGUAAUCGCAAAAACUGCAAUUACUUUUGCA